UGGCUUAGAGGUUAAAGCAUCUGCCUGCAAUGCGGGAGACCUGGGUUCGAUCCCCGG
rnacentral:tRNA from 1 species